rnacentral:lncRNA from 10 species
UCAAAUUUUCCACUUGUUGAGUGCCAAAACCAUUGCACCUACAUCAGCUACAGAAAAGAGCAGAGCUUUCCCCCCAUCAGCCUCCUAAGUAGCUGGAACCACAGGUGCGUGCCACCAUACCCAGCUAAUUUUUUUUUUUUGAAGAGAUGAGGUCUUGCUAUGCUGUCCAGGCUGGCCUUGAACGCCUGGGAUCAAGCGAUCCUCCCACUUCAGCCUCCUGGGUAGCUGGAACCACAGGUGCGUGCCACCACACCCAGCUAAUUUUUUUUUUCUUUGAAGAGAUGGGGUCUUGCUAUGCUUUCCAGGCUGGCCUUGAGCUCCUGGGCUCAAGCGAUCCUCCCACCUCAGCCUCCUGAGUAGCUGGAACCACAGGCACAUGCCACCACACCCAGCUAACUUUUUAAAUUUUUUGUAGAGAUGGGGUCUUGCUAUGCUGU